GAUCCUGGCUCAGAAUCAACGCUGGCGGCGCGCCUAACACAUGCAAGUCGAACGAGAAAGUGGAGCAAUCCAUGAGUACAGUGGCGUACGGGUGAGUAACACGUGGAUCAUCUACCCUUUAGUGGGGGAUAACCCUGGGAAACCGGGGCUAAUACCGCAUAAGUCCGAGAGGAGAAAGAAGCAAUUCGCUGGAGGAGGAGUCCGCGGCCGAUUAGUUUGUUGGUAGGGUAACGGCCUACCAAGACUAAGAUCGGUAGCCGGCCUGAGAGGGCACACGGCCACACUGGCACUGAAACACGGGCCAGACUCCUACGGGAGGCAGCAGUGGGGAAUCUUGCACAAUGGGGGCAACCCUGAUGCAGCGACGCCGCGUGAGCGAUGAAGCCCUUCGGGGUGUAAAGCUCUUUCGGCAGGGAAGAUAGUGACGGUACCUGCAGAAGCAGCUGCGGCUAACUACGUGCCAGCAGCCGCGGUAAUACGUAGGCAGCAAGCGUUGUUCGGAGUUACUGGGCGUAAAGGGUGUGUAGGCGGUUUCGUAAGUCUGGUGUGAAAUCUCCCGGCUCAACUGGGAGGGUGCGCCGGAAACUGCGAGGCUAGAGUGUGGGAUGGGAGAGUGGAAUUCCUGGUGUAGCGGUGAAAUGCGUAGAUAUCAGGAGGAACACCUGCGGUGUAGACGGCUCUCUGGACCAC
rnacentral:rRNA from 1 species